rnacentral:lncRNA from 1 species
GUUAUAUCUAUUUUACUAUGUACCUUUGGUGGAUGAAGCGAUUCACAAUUGAACACAACUGAACCAGCAACUUAUUUAUGGAUGACAGACACUGUCACUGAUGGCUGGUUUUGGUUGCAGAGGGUAGUGACUCGUAGUCAACCAGGGGAAGAGUUUUUCUGCACAUGUGCACGUUCUAGUACUCAAGAUGAUGCAUGAAACAGAUUAAAGAAUAAGCCUCGAGGGAAGAGCUCCCUUGUGAUGAAGAAAGAAUGCUACUCUUAAAUGAGCAUCAUCAAAGUUCCUUUAAAUCGUACCUUGCCUUCCACUCUUACUGUCUGUUGCUUGGAGAAGUGGUGUAACACCGUGAUCUGUACUAUUCUCAACUGCUACCAUCAAGGAUGUGGUGAGGCGACUUUCUCUGAAUGGAGAGCAUCAGGAAAGCAUCCUCCAAGGCGAGGCCUCCAACAUUCUGCAAGCAUUAAUGGAAGCGUCACUCAAAAGUUUUUUGGGUGGUGCGUUUAGAAGAAUUUGUUUCCAUGAGAACAGAUUGCUGAGCAAAUAAGUCAGCUUACAUGUUACAAGACUGAUCAAUAAACUCUGGAUUUUGUUGAAGGCA